rnacentral:rRNA from 1 species
AUGAACGCUAGCUACAGGCUUAACACAUGCAAGUCGAGGGGCAGCAUGAACUUAGCUUGCUAAGUUUGAUGGCGACCGGCGCACGGGUGAGUAACACGUAUCCAACCUGCCGAUGACUCGGGGAUAGCCUUUCGAAAGAAAGAUUAAUACCCGAUGGCAUAGUUCUUCCGCAUGGUGGAACUAUUAAAGAAUUUCGGUCAUCGAUGGGGAUGCGUUCCAUUAGGUUGUUGGCGGGGUAACGGCCCACCAAGCCUUCGAUGGAUAGGGGUUCUGAGAGGAAGGUCCCCCACAUUGGAACUGAGACACGGUCCAAACUCCUACGGGAGGCAGCAGUGAGGAAUAUUGGUCAAUGGACGAGAGUCUGAACCAGCCAAGUAGCGUGAAGGAUGACUGCCCUAUGGGUUGUAAACUUCUUUUAUACGGGAAUAAAGUGAGGCACGUGUGCCUUUUUGUAUGUACCGUAUGAAUAAGGAUCGGCUAACUCCGUGCCAGCAGCCGCGGUAAUACGGAGGAUCCGAGCGUUAUCCGGAUUUAUUGGGUUUAAAGGGAGCGUAGGCGGACGCUUAAGUCAGUUGUGAAAGUUUGCGGCUCAACCGUAAAAUUGCAGUUGAUACUGGGUGUCUUGAGUACAGUAGAGGCAGGCGGAAUUCGUGGUGUAGCGGUGAAAUGCUUAGAUAUCACGAAGAACUCCGAUUGCGAAGGCAGCUUGCUGGACUGUAACUGACGCUGAUGCUCGAAAGUGUGGGUAUCAAACAGGAUUAGAUACCCUGGUAGUCCACACAGUAAACGAUGAAUACUCGCUGUUUGCGAUAUACAGUAAGCGGCCAAGCGAAAGCGUUAAGUAUUCCACCUGGGGAGUACGCCGGCAACGGUGAAACUCAAAGGAAUUGACGGGGGCCCGCACAAGCGGUGGAGUAUGUGGUUUAAUUCGACGCAACGCGAAGAACCUUACCAAGGCUUGACAUAUAGAUGAAUUAGUAAGAGAUUAUUAAGUCCUUCGGGACAUCUAUACAGGUGGUGCAUGGUUGUCGUCAGCUCGUGUCGUGAGAUGUUGGGUUAAGUCCCGCAACGAGCGCAACCCUUAUCCUUAGUAGCCAGCAGUCCGGCUGGGCACUCUAGGGAGACUGCCAGGGAUAACCUGGAGGAAGGUGGGGAUGACGUCAAAUCAGCACGGCCCUUACGUCCGGGGCUACACACGUGUUACAAUGGGGGGUACAGAAGGCAGCUACACGGCGACGUGAUGCUAAUCCCGAAAGCCUCUCUCAGUUCGGAUUGGAGUCUGCAACCCGACUCCAUGAAGCUGGAUUCGCUAGUAAUCGCGCAUCAGCCACGGCGCGGUGAAUACGUUCCCGGGCCUUGUACACACCGCCCGUCAAGCCAUGAAAGCCGGGGGUACCUGAAGUGCGUAACCGCAAGGAGCGCCCUAGGGUAAAACUGGUGAUUGGGGCU